rnacentral:rRNA from 1 species
GACGAACGCUGGCGGCGUGCUUAACACAUGCAAGUCGAACGGAUCUUCGGGUUAGUGGCGAACGGGUGAGUAACACGUGGGUGAUCUGCCCUGCACUUUGGGAUAAGCCUGGGAAACUGGGUCUAAUACCGGAUAGGACCACGCAUUUUAUGGUGUGUGGUGGAAAGCUUUUGCGGUGUGGGAUGGGCCCGCGGCCUAUCAGCUUGUUGGUGGGGUAAUGGCCUACCAAGGCGACGACGGGUAGCCGGCCUGAGAGGGUGACCGGCCACACUGGGACUGGGAUACGGCCCAGACUCCUACGGGAGGCAGCAGUGGGGAAUAUUGCACAAUGGGCGCAAGCCUGAUGCAGCGACGCCGCGUGAGGGAUGACGGCCUUCGGGUUGUAAACCUCUUCCGCCAGGGACGAAGCGCAAGUGACGGUACCUGGAGAAGGAGGACCGGCCAACUACGUGCCAGCAGCCGCCGUAAAAC